rnacentral:rRNA from 1 species
GACGAACGCUGGCGGCGUGCCUAACACAUGCAAGUCGAAACGGACAAAAAACUUCGGUUUUUUGUUAGUGGCGGACGGGCGAGUAACGCGUGAGUAACCUGCCCCUUCAGUGGGGAAUAACGACUGGAAACGGUCGCUAAUACCGCAUAAUAUAUCGUGAUGGCAUCAUCGUGAUAUCAAAGGAGUAAUUCGCUGAAGGAUGGACUCGCGUCCGAUUAGCUAGUUGGUGAGGUAAUGGCUCACCAAGGCGACGAUCGGUAGCCGAACUGAGAGGUUGAUCGGCCGCAUUGGGACUGAGACACGGCCCAGACUCCUACGGGAGGCAGG